CAAGGAUUCCCCUAGUAACUGCGAGUGAAGCGGGAAAAGCUCAAAUUUAAAAUCUGGCGGUCUUUGGCUGUCCGAGUUGUAAUCUAGAGAAGUGUUAUCCGCGCUGGACCGUGUACAAGUCUCCUGGAAUGGAGCGUCACAGAGGGGUGAGAAUCCCGUCUUUGACACGGGACUGCCAGGGCUUUUGUGAUGCGCUCUCAAAGAGUCGAGUUGUUUGGGAAUGCAGCUCAAAAUGGGGUGGUAAAUUCCAUCUAAAGCUAAAUAUUGGCGAGAGACCGAUAGCGAACAAGUACCGUGAGGGAAAGAUGAAAAGAACUUUGGAAAGAGAGUUAAACAGUACGUGAAAUUGCUGAAAGGGAAACGCUUGAAGUCAGUCGCGUUGUCCAGGGAUCAACCUUGCUUUUGCUUGGUGCACUUUCUGGUUGACGGGUCAGCAUCAAUUUUGACUAUUGGAAAAAGAUCAGGGGAAUGUGGCAUCCUUGGAUGUGUUAUAGCCCUUGGUUGCAUACAAUGGUUGGGAUUGAGGAACUCAGCACGCCGCAAGGCCGGGUUUUUAACCACGUACGUGCUUAGGAUGCUGGCAUAAUGGCUUUAAUCGACCCGUCUUGAAACACGGACCAAGGAGUCUAACAUGCCUGCGAGUGUUUGGGUGGAAAACCCGAGCGCGUAAUGAAAGUGAAAGUUGAGAUCCCUGUCGUGGGGAGCAUCGACGCCCGGACCAGACCUUUUGUGACGGUUCCGCGGUAGAGCAUGUAUGUUGGGACCCGAAAGAUGGUGAACUAUGCCUGAAUAGGGUGAAGCCAGAGGAAACUCUGGUGGGAGGCUCGUAGCGAUUCUGACGUGGCAAAAUCGAUCGUCCAAAUUUGG
rnacentral:rRNA from 1 species